rnacentral:lncRNA from 1 species
UCAUUAAAAGAUGUGAGUGUCGAGUUUCCAACGCAUCAAAUUGUGAGAGAUUCGGAUCUUCCUACCAAGAUUGUGGCCAUUUUAGUGACAAGUGUGCAGGCUGCUGAAAUGAGAACUCAGCAGAACCAAAACCCUUCUGCCAGCGUUUCUGCAACCAGCAAGACUGCCCUCUUUGUCAAGAAACAUCAUAGCAGCUUUGACAUAUUUUACUCUAAAUCACUUUCACAUGUAAAGCCUUUACAAGUCAAUAUUUGACAAGAUUUUUAAGAAUAUCUUCACUUUGCUAAUGAAUCAAGUAUGCAAAAUAUGAAACAGAAUCUUCCAGAUACAAAAUCACUGUCUGCAAUCAAGGAAGACCAUAAUGGCUAGUAUAUGAUUGGCAAUUGCAGAAGUCAUGCAUGCAUAUUGUAGAAAUCUGAUUUCAUUCUGUGAAUAUUUUCCUUCCUUUAGUACAGUACGUAGCUUGUACCUGUAGAUUCUCAAACAAUACAGCACUGUAGGUACGUCCCAGGUAAUUAAGUAUUUGACAAUACAAAUAUCUUAUGCACUUUAGACCCAAAUAAAAGCUGACUUCCUUAGAAAAUCACACGUAUGGCAGAUUUUGCAGAAAAUCUGUCACUUGAAUUUCUUUUCAGCCUCACCUAAAACUUUAGCUAGAUGGAAAACGUUUGUCUAGGUGUAAACUUUCUUGUUUGUUCUUGUCCUUGGAGGGAUUGUUCCGAGUAUAAAAAAUUAUGUUUCAAGAAUGUAGUAAGAAGUUAAACUUGCAUUUAAUGGAAUUAAAUUCGAGUAUGACUGUUGAGCUAUUUCAAACUCUUAAUUCUAACAAGAGGGAAAGGAGGCGAGUAACGGAGUACCAUCAGUAGAUAGCAACUAAACAAAGAAUACAUAACAUUAAAAGAAUGGCAGGUGUGAACCCUAAAUUUACAAGUUUAUUCUCUCUAAAAAUCUAAAAAUAAUAAUGAUGAAGUCUCAUCACUAAGAGGUUUACAAAGCUUUAAAUAAAUAGAAACCUACCUCAACCAGAAAACAAAAACAAAAAUCCAAAAUUACAUAGAAAAGAAGCAUAAAAUCCAAAAUAAGCAAGAAAUCCAAAAAUAAGAAAAAAACAUAAAAAAAUGCCAAAACCUAGGGGCCACUAUGAGAUUUUCAAUAUCUAAAGAUUCGAUGGUCCGUGUUGCGAUACAGUCGCUACUAUUGGAAAAAUAACCUCCGGAAACUACUGUAAAAAUUUGAGGGUGAUCCAAUAAUCGGAUCAAAUUAAAGUUAUAACCUUUUUGAACCGUUAUUCUAGCAUGUCGAGACUAGACCUCCUCUUGAACCUUAACCUAUCUCGUUGGUCAAUACAUACACUUGCUAGGCUAUCUGAGGCAAACUCAUAUCUAACAAUUCAGAAUCACAUGUUAACGCAGCCCGACUACAUCACUAAGCUUGGUGUUGUUUUGCGUGUCAUGCUAGCAAGGGUGGUUCUAUUGAUCCUUGUGCUGUUGAACUUUUCUAGACAAGGCAAUGACGAUACCAUACAUACACAAUGGUUGAUGCUUGAUGCCAAAUCACUGAGAUAUAUUAUAGUAGCGGGCUAACAUCACAACAUGAUUAGUGGCUAAGACUUUGAGAGGUUUGCCAACAAUGAAAAAAUAUAGACAACCUGGAAGUUGGUUGGUGGAGUCGGCUUUGGCUUUUCAGAAGGUGCAGAAGAUGAAUGUUUAAGCUAUUUUGCUUUGUAUUGCUUGGAAUGCUUGCAUUGUUGCACUCCAUUUGGAAAGAAAGAAUGGCCGGAUUGCUUGUUGAUAUAUGUUAUUAUCCUAGUAUUAUAAUUGAGCACAUUGUCUUUUUUGUCAAGUAUAAGGUCUUGAGAUUGAAAACAAAUCAAGCUAUCUAGUUUCUCCUAUAAAUAUAAUUGUAUGUAUACGUGUACAGAGAUUGGAAACUCACUGCAAUAAUAGUAUUAUCUGCUGCUGCAAGAUUUUCCAGCAUACUCUCCUUUGAUUUAUAUGUUUUGAUAUUCUAUCACUUCAGAACCACUAAAGAGCUCGAAGAUAGCUCCUUCAAGCUCGAAUUUUCUUGAAACCUGCACUAGCAGUGACAACUUGGACUAUAUUUAUAUAAAAGGAGCUAGCAGAACCAUUGUUUCUUAUGUAGCUACCUCUUUCGUCUUCUUUUUAAAGAUAUGAAAAUUCUCGGUGUAGAAUGAAUUUUCAUAAUUUACCAGAAUUAUUAUUUGUUAAUUCCAAAGACAGGUUGACUGGUUCAGUUAGUAUUCUUAAAGUACAGUUUUAUAAAUUGACGCUCCUACUGUCUCACGAAAUUGGUAACAACGUACCAGUGUGGUGAAAAUCCAUGGAAAAUGUCAGCUUAAUGCAAGAAUAGGCUGGACUUGCCAUGCUCAACAAGUUAUGAAGUAUGGUGACAAUUGGACAUAAUCUGUUAGCUUCUGGUUGUUAAUCAGUGUCAAGUAAGUGGCCAGGGAAACUCCAGGGGACAAUCGACGUGCUCUUUGUUACACAACACAAAACAUCUGCCUGUAAUAUGCUGAAGGUUUCUUUAUAUAUUCUGUCAAAGUAGGGGACCGAACAUUAAAGAGAUGAUAGAACUGAACCUGGCCGGAAUUCAGACUGGGUGAACGUUGUUUAGGCGAGAGAAUGAGUGGCCAUGAAUUUCCUACAACCUUUUGUAAAUACCCUGACUUGUAUCUUUCUAACUUUUGCAAACUUUCAAGGAAAAUCUUCAUGUUCAACUGCAAUUGCUAGAUUCUGCAGAAGCUGAAAAGGAAAUUAAAGGUUGGAUAGAGAUCAGAAUGGGAAAAGGGAAAUUAUUCUGUACCUUCAAUGUUGCUCACAGUUCCGUCUAGAUUCAUGUUAUACGCUUCGAUGCAGAAAGCCAAAGACAGGAAAAAGCUAUCCUUGUUAGGAGGCUCCAUUUUCAUACCAAGUGACCAAUAAUAAGCAAAAACGAGAGCAAUGUUAAUUACAGAUGCUUCAAAGGGAUACUUAUCAAUUUGGUGCAAAAAGAAUAAAACCUUUUUUGUGAUCACAUUUUAGUAUAAAGAAUACACUAGUCACGUGUUUCACGCUUCUCCACGAGUUGGAUUAAAACAAAAUUGAUGUAAAAAAUAUGCAUGAGAAACAAAUAAAUUAUAAAAAUUGAUUUCUAAUAAACACAAUGUUAAAGGUUUAAAUAAAAAAAUAAAAAACCAAAAAAUAUAUUAUUGUUUCAGCGAAUCUAUGAGGGGAGCUGCCCUGAAUUCAACAAUUCUUUUAGAUUUUUUUAAUAUGGUCCUAGAAUCUAAUAAGAUUACCUAGAUAUAUCUAGAUAAUCUAGAAAGGAAAGGCUGGAAAGAGAUCAUAGAAUAGAAAAGAGUCGCAUGAUAUUGUUCUCUUGCUCACAUUUCUCAUCCAUUUAGCCCAUUUUUGCGUCCAGGUUCUCCGCGUACUUGCUAGCUGC